CGCUAAAGAACUUGCCUCACAGCUAGGGACAACAUUUAGAAAUGAAUGCUAAUACCUGAUAUUAUGAUUUUAAGGCAUCUUAGAAUUAUGAAAGCUAUAAGCACUGUGAGAGAGCUUUGCGUCCCAUUAGCUAGUUGGAGAGGUAACAGCUCACCAAGGCGAUGAUGGGUAGCCGGCCUGAGAGGGUGAACGGCCACAAGGGGACUGAGACACGGCCCUU
rnacentral:rRNA from 1 species